CAAUAUGGGGUCGCUUCUGCAUGGAAGUAAGUUAGAAAAAGACAAAUCCUUGAAUUAUAAAGUUGUUAUGUAAUAAUUUAAAUUUUAUGCUCAUUCUUCAAAGAAAAAAACAAGAUAUGGAGAAAAGCAAUUGUCUAACAAGUCUAGUAGUUCUAAUACUUGUCCUGCCAUAUGUAAAUGCAACCUUGUCAAAGCCAAAAGCUGCAAAGCACUUUGUGUUGGUUCAUAAGGCAUGUCAUGGAGCCUGGUCUUGGUACAAAAUUAUAGCAUUGAUGAAAUCUUCAGGGCAUAAUGUCACAGCUCUUGACUUAGGUGCUUCAGGAAUUAACUCGAAACAGGCCCGCGAAAUUACACAUUUUUCUGAUUUCUUGAGUCCGUUAAUCGAGUUCAUGACUUCUCUUCCUGCACAUAAAAAUGUUUACCCAUUUUCAGGCAAAUUGACUGAUACAAUUAAUUCUACCAAUUCCCGGAUGGUGGAACCAACUUGCAAUAUUCCCCCUUGUGGUAAUAUGUGAUGCAAUGCAGUGGUAUCUAAAUAUACUUCGUUAUAGUUAUGCAAUGCAGUAGUAUCGAAACUUGAUAAUCGUGUUAUAUACGAUAAGGGGCCUUCGAAUCCUCCAACCUUCAUUUUAGGUCCGAAGUACUUAGCAAGUAAUGUUUACCAACAGAGCCCAAUUCAGGAUUUGGCGUUGGCCACUACACUAGUAAGGGAAAUAUUUUUUUACAGUGUGGAAGAUGUUUCUAACGAGAUAAUUCUUUCGAGAAAAAGAUAUGGAUCAAUUAGGCGAGCGUUUGUUGUUACUCCGGAAGAUAAACUUCUAAAAAAAGAAUUUCAACAAUUGAUGAUUAAAAGAAAUCCACCUGAUGAAGUAAAAGAGAUCCAGGGCGCUGACCAUAUGGUCAUGAUGUCUAAGCCCCAUGAACUUUUUAAAUUUCUUCUGAGAUUUGCUGACAAGGGACUAACUCACGUGUCUGUUGCAACUGUAUGACGAUCUAAGUUGUUUCAUGAAAGUCCUCCCAGCUAGUUGAUUUGAUGUUCCAAUCAUUUUCUCCAAGUGGUUGAUGUUUUCUUUCAUUGUAAUAUUAGUGUUUGGAAUUGACAUCAAUAAACGACUUAUAUUUCCAAUAUAUCCAUAGUGUUGUUGUUUUAGUUCAAUUUUCUGUAUUAUCAUUAGCAUU